GGCGGCGGUGCGGCGGGCGGUCAAGAGCAAAGAACCGCUGGAGAGAACCCUCCAAACCCACCAAACCCCGCGUACGUCACUCGUGGGGGUGAAUCGGCUCAACUCGGCUGGCGCGAGGGCGACUUGGUGGGCAGGCUCGGGCCUGACCACCGCAGACAUGCGACGGCCCCCGCCGGGACGGCAAUCCCAGUGCGAGGGCCUGACCACCAGAGGAAGAGCAGAGCUUCCCG
rnacentral:ncRNA from 1 species